UGAGGAACAUGACUUUCGGCGGGGGAUAGCCGGCCCAACGGCCGGGUAAUACCGCGUACGACCUUUUGGGGACAUCCCCGAUUGGUGAAAGCAGCAAUGCGCCGAAAGAGUGCCUCGCGGCCUAUCAGCUAGUUGGUGGGGUAAUGGCUCACCAAGGCGACGACGGGUAGCUGGUCUGAGAGGAUGGCCAGCCACAUUGGGACUGAGACACGGCCCAGACUCCGUAGGGNGCAG
rnacentral:rRNA from 1 species